UACUCCUACGGGAGGCAGCAGUGGGGAAUAUUGGACAAUGGACCGAGAGUCUGAUCCAGCAAUUCUGUGUGCACGAUGAAGUUUUUCGGAAUGUAAGGUGCUUUCAGUUGGGAAGAAACAAAUGACGGUACCAACAGAAGAAGUGACGGCUAAAUACGUGCCAGCAGCCGCGGUAAUACGUAUGUCACGAGCGUUAUCCGGAUUUAUUGGGCGUAAAGCGCGUCUAGGUGGUUAUGUAAGUCUGAUGUGAAAAUGCAGGGCUCAACUCUGUAUUGCGUUGGAAACUGUAUAACUAGAGUACUGGAGAGGUAAGCGGAACUACAAGUGUAGAGGUGAAAUUCGUAGAUAUUUGUAGGAAUGCCGAUGGGGAAGCCAGCUUACUGGACAGAUACUGACGCUGAAGCGCGAAAGCGUGGGUAGCAAACAGGAUUAGAUACCCUGGUAGUCCACGCCGUAAACGAUGAUUACUAGGUGUUGGGGGUCGAACCUCAGCGCCCAAGCAAACGCGAUAAGUAAUCCGCCUGGGGAGUACGUACGCAAGUAUGAAACUCAAAGGAAUUGACGG
rnacentral:rRNA from 1 species